GAGUUUGACUCCUGGCUCGAGGACGACGCUGGCGGCGUGCUUAACACAUGCAAGUCGAACGGUGAAGCCCUUCGGGGUGGAUCAGUGGCGAACGGGUGAGUAACACGUGAGCAACCCGCCCCUGGCUCUGGGAUAACCAUCGGAAACGGUGGCUAAUACUGGAUACGACCCACGAUCGCAUGGUGUGUGGGUGGAAAGUUUUUCGGCUGGGGAUGGGCUCGCGGCCUAUCAGCUUGUUGGUGGGGUGAUGGCCUACCAAGGCGACGACGGGUAGCUGGCCUGAGAGGGCGACCGGCCACACUGGGACUGAGACACGGCCCAGACUCCUACGGGAGGCAGCAGUGGGGAAUAUUGCGCAAUGGGCGAAAGCCUGACGCAGCGACGCCGCGUGAGGGAUGACGGCCUUCGGGUUGUAAACCUCUUUCAGCAGGGAAGAAGCGAAAGUGACGGUACCUGCAGAAGAAGCACCGGCUAACUACGUG
rnacentral:rRNA from 1 species